AUAAUAAUAACACUUCCACUGGAAGUUUCUAUCCAACUGUUUUAAAAAACAUAUGUUGUAUCCUUAUGACUGUUAUCCUUUUCUCUGUACUACCGCCUCCAUUCACAUGAAACCUUUUUUAUUAUUAUUAUUAAUAAUUUAUUAACAAACGAAUUUCUAUUACAAGUGAAUCUCAAAGACAAACAAACGGAUACUAACUUCACCAGAAAACAAAGGAAACAGAAACUACUAGAUCUGUGAUUCAAUGGUUGCACAUCUGCCUUCAUAGGAGAAAGUUACAUAAAUUCGUGAUUUAUUCACGUUGGGUUCUAUCCCUUGAUCCAUUCAGUUUCUUUUUCUAAUUUAAUCGGUUUUGUGUUUCUGGAUACUUAAGAAUUUUUGUGUUUUUCUUAUCUGUGUAUUGCUUUGAAGAAGAAGAAGUAUUUAUGUAUUGGAGCAUUGGGCGGCUAAACAGUUAUCAAGGAAAAGGAUUGCUGAUAACAUCAAAUUGGCGCAUGAGCUUGUCAACAUUACUUUUAAAAACAAAUUUCUCCAAGAUGCAUGCUCAAGGUGGAUAUUCAAAAAACAUAUGAUUCCAUAGAGUAAGUGUAUAUUGAACAGGUAAUGAUAGGUUGGGGUUUCCAACUUAAUUUAUUACAUGGCUAAUAAACUGUGUGAAGACGCUAAGUUGUUCUAUUAUUAUCAAUGUAGAAGCAACUGAACCUUUUCAAGAUGCAAAAGGUUUAAGACAUGGAGAUCCCAUUCCUCUAUAUUUGCUUGCUACAACUAUUGAAUACCUAAGUAGGCAUUUGAGUACUUUAGUUGAUGUAAAGAAAUACAAAUACCAUCCAAUGUAUAAAAAAUUUAAACUCACUCAUUUGGCUUUUGCUGAUGAUUUAAUUCUAUUUUCAAGGGGUGAUC